rnacentral:misc_RNA from 1 species
GAUGUUGACCAUGAUAAAGAGAGAGCACAAGCACAAGGUCUUGAACCAAAUGGAUUUAAUUUUGAUGGAGCUGAUGCUACUGGCAUUGAUUAUGCACUAAAUAGGGCAAUUUCUGCUCGGUAUGAGGGUCGAGAGUGGUUUAACUCGUUAUGUAAAACUGUGAUGGAGCAAGACUGGUCUUGGAAUAAGCCUGCUCUUGAUUACAUGGAGCUUUACCAUGCUGCACGCAAGUGAAAAGAACAGGUCCUGGGAGGGUGAUAUGCAGCUCAAUUCCACACACCAUAUUCUGUACAGGUUCAGCGCAUUGAUUACUUGCACAUAAAUAGUCCACUCAAAAUAAAGCAAGGUAAUCUGAUGAUGCCAGUUUUAAAGCUUGAAAUGGCUCAUCCAUAUUUGUGUUUUAGUGCAGAAAAUGUACAUCACAGAAAAUUUUGAAUUGGUUACUGUACGAGGUUGAUGUGAUUUUUAUACCGGUCCCAGUUGUAAAUAAGUGUGAAUUGGUUAGUCACACUAGCAUUGGACAAAUGGGAUAGUUUUUCAAGGCUGAAAUGAGGGAUUGGUACCUGUUUAGCAAUAAUGCAGCUGUCCAAUCAAUCUUAUUGGUUGUGGCUUGCUAAAUGAGGGAUUGCUUGCCCUUUAACAAAUGGGCAACUGGGUUCAAACUCAUAGCAUGAGACGACUCUUCAUUAUAAGGUAAUUGGCAAAUCAGCUAGUAGCAGAAAGGCCUUUGUACUUAUUUUCACUUGAAAAUGCCUUGUAAUAUGUAUCACGUGGCAAAGUAGAUGGUGGAGUUCAUGCUUCCACUUGCAAUUAGUUUUGUAAUUGUGGAUGACAUGGACAAAUAGUGGUGACUUUGUACUGCAAAAUGUCCCUGAUUGGCAACCACGUCUUGCCUUAUCAGCCACCAAAGUUGCCUUGCUCAUCUCUUGUUGGCCUUGAAGUGACCAAGACUUUUCUGGAAAUGAUAGUUUUGGUGACCAAUUUCUGCGUGGUAAUUGACAAGGGACAAGAUUUUGAGAUGCAAAUUUGGUGGUGAUUUCUUUUCUCUGGCAUUUUUAGACCACCCCACUAAUCACCCAACAUGGGAAACAAGAAAUGAAAAAGGAGUUAAAGGUGUGCUUUCCUUAUCAAAAAUUAAAAUCAAGUGGAUCAUCCCUUCUUGGAUGGUAGAAAUUGUUUCUCCUAUCUAGUGAUUAAAAUGGGUGGUUUUGAUAAGUUGAUUUUCAUUUUGUCCAUUGAUGUCUUAGCAGGAUUUCCAUAUAAAUAGCCAAUGCUAAUGAAUUCUAUAAUGCAAAAACUGUUAUGCCCUUGUAUGUGACUUCAAAUUCCAAAACCAUUAAGACAAACUAAUCAAAAACUUCCAAGUGUCUUUUAGCAAUUAAAUAGCUAACCAUUAUAAAUCAUAGGU